rnacentral:lncRNA from 1 species
GGGCGCUGGAGGAGAACCGAGCCGGGGAAGGCAGCCGCUCGCUCCGCUGCUGCCUGGCGGAGCCUAGCACGGGCUGAGUCUCAAACCCCGCGUUGUGUGUGCCCUGCGCUGCCAGGCGCGAAUCCGGUCAGCUGGAAAGACUUCUGGGGACCCGGAGCGGAAGGACAGUUACUAAAAUGGAACCAUAACUCGGAGGGCAAUGCAUUCCUUUUCUCUACCACCAGAUGCUCAUAAUAGAACUAUUGCUCACAAGGAGGAUGCUUGUUAUUUUGUAUGUGAUCACCACAAAACAGAUGGAGAGUGAUUAUAUGUUCUAAGUCCUGUGACUGCUUUAAAGCAAAUAAAAGUGAGCCUGUAUUUUCUGGGUUUUGAUUAGUAAACAAUGAUCACUCAUAAUGAGUAAGAUAUAGCUUCAGAAAGGUGUGAUUAUUGUGGAUUUAAGAUGACAUGAAGGAAGCUAGGCUUAUUUAGUCCUGUAGACACAUUUUGGUAGAAAUAAGUGGCCCACGUUAGGUUUAUAGUGAAGUUAGUUAUGUGCCCAAAAAUUAUGGUGUAAAUUGGAACUUAUUAACUUUCUAUUUAUAAGGUACUGGAGGUAGAAAGGGAAGAAACGGCACAGUUCCUGAUAUUCAGGAACACAGGAAAAACAUUAACCCUCUGAUAUUUUGCCAGGCUUCUAAGAACAUAGGCACUUGAUCUACAGUUAGCCAAUAGGUGACCGUUACACAGGAAUUUAUAGUGACAGCCAGCUGGGGGGUAAACAAGUACUUUAGUGUGCUUGGCCUGCUAUACAAAAUAUUAGAGGUUUAUAAAGAAUAGAUAUAUUGCCUUCACUGUCUUUUUCUAGGAUCUUGUUUAGAAUUGCUUAUAGUGCUGGUUUGGUAUUCAUGUAGUUUCUCAGGUGUUCUUUGUCAUGGAAGUGUUUUAUUUCCCCCUCCGUUUUGAAAGAGAGUUUUGCUGGAUACAUCAGUCUAGGUUGGAGGUUGUUCUCUUUUAGUACUUGAAAUAUCUCAUUCCAGGCUCUCCUUGCCCCAAGGGUUUGUGUUGAAAAGUCUGCUGUGAUUCUGAUGGGCUUUCCUUUGUAUGUGAUUUGUUUCUUUUCUCUUACUGCUUGUAGUAUUUUGUUCUUCUGUUGGGUUUCUGGGAUCUUGAUUAUUAUAUGUCUAGGUGUAGAUUUUUUU